rnacentral:snoRNA from 11 species
UAAUGCCUAUGGUAUCUGAUGCCUUAACCUAAUUAAUGUUUUAGGCAUCUCGUUUUACGGGCAAAUAGAGAUGAAAACAGUUUUGCGACACAGUUUGCUGUUAGUUUUAAAAGCUAACUGUUAUUUAUUUCUGUUCACAAUU